GAUGAACGCUAGCGGCAGGCUUAAUACAUGCAAGUCGAGGGGCAUCAAGGUACACGAAAGUGUAUUGUUGGCGACCGGCGGACGGGUGAGUAAUAGGUAGGUAACCUACCUCAUACUGAGGCAUAGCUGGGAGAAAUUCCAGGUAAUUCCUCAUGAGGUUAUAUGACACAUGUGAUAUAAUCAAAGGUAUCGCAAGGUACUGGUAUGAGAUGGGCUUACUGACCAUUAGCUAGUUGGUGAGAUAAGAGCUCACCAAGGCGAAGAUGGUUAGGGGUUUUGAGAGAGAGAUCCCCCACAUUGGAACUGAGAUACGGUCCAGACUCCUACGGGAGGCAGCAGUAGGGAAUAUUGGGCAAUGGGCGGAAGCCUGACCCAGCCAUGCCGCGUGAAGGAAGACGGCCUUAUGGGUUGUAAACUUCUUUAACUAUGCGACUAACUAGAUUUACGAGAUAAUUCUAUAGAAUGUAGCAUAGCAAAAGCACCGG
rnacentral:rRNA from 1 species